rnacentral:misc_RNA from 1 species
GAUGAAGAACGCAGCGAAAUGCGAUAAGUAAUGUGAAUUGCAGAAUUCCGUGAAUCAUCGAAUCUUUGGACGCACAUUGCGCCCUCUGGUAUUCCGGGGGGCAUGCCUGUCCGAGCGUCAUUUGCAACCCUCAAGCCCGGCUUGUGUGAUGGGUGCCGUCCCCUACGGGACGCGCCCCGAAGGCAAUGGCGGCGUCGCGGUUAUCCGAUCAGCCAAAGUGUAUGGGGCUUUGUCACUCACUUUACGGCCCGGACCGGCGCCAGUCCGAAUCAAUCUUUUUUCUAAAGUUGACCUCGGAUCAGGUAGGGAUACCCGCUGAACUUAAGCAUAUCAAUAAGCGGAGGA